GCGGUACUGAAGUGUGCCGUGAUGGUGGCGGCUUGUCGUUUGCGCUGCUCCUCGCUGACACUUGUAGCCUGGUCUCUUCCAAACUCCAGACCCUGACAACAACAACAACAUUCAGACCUGUGAACUAGGACGUUCAGCAUGAUGAGUCAGCAAGCAAGCAGAAGAGCUAGAAUCUCGGGGAUGGCAAGAAGAGCAACAAAAAGAUCAAGGACGUAAGCACACCAAUGGCGCGGCGUUCUGUUGACAGCGACUCUUCAAAAGUUCCUGUGGAAGGCUCAGACAAUGUAUGCGCUUGCCAACAAUUACACAAAUAAUAAUAAAUAAUAAAUGACAUUUACUCUGAUUCUGAAAAAUAAAAACUGUCACUGUUAUGUAAUGUGUGAACGCUUUUGCCUGGUAGACAUUUGUGUAUGUCUCGCGACUAUUCAGGUCCUUCCACUCUGACAUUACCGUAAUUUCCGGCCUAAAAACCGCGACUUUUUUCACACGCUUUCAAGUCUGCGGUUUUUGUGGUGAUGCGGCUAA